rnacentral:miRNA from 1 species
UUGAAAUCUGGAUUCUUGGGUUCCACUCCAGAUGCAGCGAAGGUUCUAGAAGCUCUGGGGAUGGGGCCCAGGAAUCUGCAUUUUAA